rnacentral:lncRNA from 1 species
GAAUCCUUGUAGGACUCUGGAGAAGAUCAAAUGGGAGCUUAGAUGUGGAAGCUCUUUGGAAACCAAGAAACACUCUGAAAAUGAAAAGGCAUAAGAAUGUUUAUCACAGCAUGGCAUAUAUUGGAAGUUUAGUAAAUGAAGAUACAUCCAAUCUGACAUUCUAUUCACAACCACAAAGAGAUAAUGUAGAAACAUAUUUAGUAAUGUGAGAAAAUACUAAAUAUUAAGUGAAAAAGGUGGAAGAGUAAACUGUUCCUGUUUCUCCAUCUUGACAGGAAGCAGAAGUUCUCCUUAGCUGAUUUUUCUUCUUGCCUUAUACUGGGUUCUUUAACACCAGAACAAAAAUAAAUAAAUAAAAGAAUCUUCCAGAAAUUCAUGAAGAGACUUCAGGUCAGGAAAGCCUGAACUUUCUCAUCCAACACCCGUUCAAGUCGGAGGAUGCUGAUUAAUUCAUGAUGGAAAGGUAUCAAUUUCACAGCCCAGACCUCUACAUUCUUGAAAUGCUCUUCUCAUGGGAGACAUUAAAUAAGCUUUGAAUUAACUGAGACCUCUGUGGAUUCUAUAACUCAAAGACCCAGGCUGACGGCUGGUGGAAUAGCUACCAUCUCAAACAUGGCGUGAUGCUGCAUCAGAGAGAAAAAUAAGCUCUUGCAUUGACAAUGAAAUGUCUACCCUGUAGUGACUUGUGCUUACUUCCACUCACAAGUGAUUGCCCAGAGCUACUUACCUGGCUCCAAUCUACCACUGGGUGUGUACUUGCAAUCUACCAUGUACCUAGAAGAUGAGAGAAACAAAUUAUUAAUGAUGACCACACCCCAAUACUAACAACAAUUGCAGAAGAAUCAAUGACUUAAACAAAAAUGUGGCCAUUGAAGGAAUAGAAAAUAUAGUGAGUUUAGUGUAAAUUUAAAAGUGAUUUAUAAGUAACAUACAAAAUCCAGAAACUAUAAGAAAACA